rnacentral:lncRNA from 1 species
GGCAUUGAAGAAAUGCAACAUUAGUUGUAUUCAUAAAUGUGUACUUUGUAGCACCUUGUUUUUACAAUCAGCAUUUCAGCAUCUACAAACUAGACUCACCUAUUAGAUCUGUGUGUAAUUGUUGGUCGAAGAAGUUAAACAAAAACAAAACCAAAAGAUACAAAGAGUUAGAGACUCAAUAUCUACGUUCUAUGAGUCCAUAACCUUAAAGUUAUAAGAAUUUAGAAACCAAAAAUAGAAGAAAAUCGAAAAUUGAGAGAUAUUAAUAAUAAAACAACUAAUCUAAUGUCCAGGGCCACUUUUGCUUGGCCCAGAAGUAAGUCUAAAUUUCAAGCUCCGUGAUGAAUGAUGAGUACUAGGUUUGUUAGAAGAAACAUCAAAUGUUGUCAUUCCAAGUGAAGAGUUUGUUUCAUUAAUCUCUUCAUAACCCUCACCCAUCUUUGUCUUUAACUCCAUUUGUUGAAGAACUCUGCUUUCCACAAAACAGUACUCUGAUGAAAUCAUAAUUACUAUAAUAAUCAACAUAAUAUUACAAAGGAUCUUCUUCAUCUUCAUAUUUGUUUUCUAUAAGAGGUGGGAAAUGUAAUUAUGUAAGUAUGGUAUGUAAUGUAUAGAUG